rnacentral:rRNA from 1 species
GAUGAACGCUGGCGGCGUGCCUAAUACAUGCAAGUCGAGCGAACGGACGAGAAGCUUGCUUCUCUGAUGUUAGCGGCGGACGGGUGAGUAACACGUGGAUAACCUACCUAUAAGACUGGGAUAACUUCGGGAAACCGGAGCUAAUACCGGAUAAUAUUUUGAACCGCAUGGUUCAAAAGUGAAAGACGGUCUUGCUGUCACUUAUAGAUGGAUCCGCGCUGCAUUAGCUAGUUGGUAAGGUAACGGCUUACCAAGGCAACGAUGCAUAGCCGACCUGAGAGGGUGAUCGGCCACACUGGAACUGAGACACGGUCCAGACUCCUACGGGAGGCAGCAGUAGGGAAUCUUCCGCAAUGGGCGAAAGCCUGACGGAGCAACGCCGCGUGAGUGAUGAAGGUCUUCGGAUCGUAAAACUCUGUUAUUAGGGAAGAACAUAUGUGUAAGUAACUGUGCACAUCUUGACGGUACCUAAUCAGAAAGCCACGGCUAACUACGUGCCAGCAGCCGCGGUAAUACGUAGGUGGCAAGCGUUAUCCGGAAUUAUUGGGCGUAAAGCGCGCGUAGGCGGUUUUUUAAGUCUGAUGUGAAAGCCCACGGCUCAACCGUGGAGGGUCAUUGGAAACUGGAAAACUUGAGUGCAGAAGAGGAAAGUGGAAUUCCAUGUGUAGCGGUGAAAUGCGCAGAGAUAUGGAGGAACACCAGUGGCGAAGGCGACUUUCUGGUCUGUAACUGACGCUGAUGUGCGAAAGCGUGGGGAUCAAACAGGAUUAGAUACCCUGGUAGUCCACGCCGUAAACGAUGAGUGCUAAGUGUUAGGGGGUUUCCGCCCCUUAGUGCUGCAGCUAACACAUUAAGCACUCCGCCUGGGGAGUACGACCGCAAGGUUGAAACUCAAAAGAAUUGACGGGGACCCGCACAAGCGGUGGAGCAUGUGGUUUAAUUCGAAGCAACGCGAAGAACCUUACCAAAUCUUGACAUCCUUUGACAACUCUAGAGAUAGAGCUUUCCCCUUCGGGGGACAAAGUGACAGGUGGUGCAUGGUUGUCGUCAGCUCGUGUCGUGAGAUGUUGGGUUAAGUCCCGCAACGAGCGCAACCCUUAAGCUUAGUUGCCAUCAUUAAGUUGGGCACUCUAAGUUGACUGCCGGUGACAAACCGGAGGAAGGUGGGGAUGACGUCAAAUCAUCAUGCCCCUUAUGAUUUGGGCUACACACGUGCUACAAUGGACAAUACAAAGGGCAGCGAAACCGUGAGGUCAAGCAAAUCCCAUAAAGUUGUUCUCAGUUCGGAUUGUAGUCUGCAACUCGACUACAUGAAGCUGGAAUCGCUAGUAAUCGUAGAUCAGCAUGCUACGGUGAAUACGUUCCCGGGUCU